rnacentral:rRNA from 1 species
AGUGAACGCUGGCGGCAGGCCUAAUACAUGCAAGUCGAACGGCAGCACAGCAGAGCUUGCUCUGUGGGUGGCGAGUGGCGGACGGGUGAGGAAUACAUGGGAAUCUGCCCAGUCGUGGGGGAUAACGUAUGGAAACGUACGCUAAUACCGCAUGCGCCCUACGGGGGAAAGGUCGGGGACCGGCAAGGCCUGGCGCGAUUGGAUGAGCCCAUGUUCGAUUAGCUAGUUGGCGGGGUAAAGGCCCACCAAGGCGACGAUCGAUAGCUGGUCUGAGAGGAUGAUCAGCCACACUGGAACUGAGACACGGUCCAGACUCCUACGGGAGGCAGCAGUAGGGAAUAUUGGACAAUGGGGGCGAACCCUGAUCCAGCCAUGCCGCGUGAGUGAAGAAGGCCUCGGGUUGUAAAGCUCUUUGUCCGAAGAAAGCAUCGGUUAAUACCGGUUGUUCUGACGGUACCGGAAGAAUAAGCACCGG